rnacentral:rRNA from 1 species
AAUCAACGCUGGCGGCGUGCCUCAGACAUGCAAGUCGAACGAUUAAGACUUCCUUCGGGAAGUGCAUAAAGUGGCGCACGGGUGAGUAACACGUAAGUAAUCUACCCUCGAGUGGGAAGUAACGUUCGGAACGGAACGCUAAUACCGCAUAACGCAGCGGCACCGCAAGGUGACAGUUGUUAAAGGAGUAAUUCGCUUGAGGAGGAGCUUGCGGCAGAUUAGCUUGUUGGUAAGGAACGGCUUACCAAGGCUACGAUCUGUAUCCGGUCUAAGAGGACGGUCGGACACACUGACACUGAAU